AUUUCUGAGCUUAAUUAUCAAGCUCAGGAAGGCAGGCAUCCCUGCUGUCUCCUGGCGACACGCGGGAGAGAUCCAUGACAACAGUCCACUUCCGGGAGCCUCCCCCUCAGCUUGAGAGCGCGGUCUACAUGGUAACGUGGAGAGUGCUGGUGAUGAGCUCAUCUUCGGUGCAUGACGGCGCAGUCCAGAGGGGGAAGUCGCUAGGAUUAACCUCAGACCCACUGAACAAAGCCGAGGAAAACGUGUCCACGGGAUUUGGUGUGAUCAGUUCUUUUCUUGGCUAUGUCCAGUCUCUUGAUAAGCCCAUAGACGUUCUCCACUUCUGUCCUCUUGUUUUUAUUUUUUUAUUCUUUUAUUUUUUUAGCGUUUCCUUUUGAUUCCUCCUUAGCAUUUCCAUCUCUCUGCUUACCUUACCCGUCUGUUCUUCCAUGGUGUCCGCCUGUUUUAUGAUAGCCCUCGGCAUAUCAGUCACAGUUGUUUUAAAUUCCGCGCUCUGAUGAUCCCAACAUCCCUGCCAGAGCCGAGUGUGGUUCUGAUGUUUGCUUGUGUGCUUUGUCUUUUGGUGUAUCCUGUGACUUCCCGCUGCAAGCCACACAUGAGGCACUGGGUAGAAGGAACCGAGUACUGGCUCUUGCGGUUUCUGCCUGUGAAUUUGCACUCUGUGAGGACUUCUAAGCUUCUUGCACGCUGGACCAGGAGCUGGAUGUCAGUGUGGUCAAUCCUUUCUGAAGCAAUCCAUGGUUCCUCCUCAGUCAGCAGGAUGAAGGGUAUUUGCCAUCAAAUGAGAUAGCUAGUAAGGACACAAUUUUGCAGGGAGACGGAACAGAGACUAUACAUAUAAACACACGAACCGAUUCGUUUUCUCCUUCUCUCCAUUGCCCUGAUGCACUUCCCAAAUAAACCUUCUAUUGGUAGUAUGGAAUUUGGUUCAUAUUGGAGGACAAGAAGUCGGGUGUUUGUAGGUAAACAGAAGUUUAUUUUUGAACAAUUCCAUUCUAUUUUUUCUUGGCUUCACCCUAUAAACCUUAAGAGGAACAUCGAAGAAACAGAGACGGACACCUGGAACACUUCAAGACUUGAGGAAUAAGAUCUUGGAGACAGCAGUGGGAGUGUUGGGAGUAUCCCAUCUGGGGGAGAUCAGACUGGUUCUCUCGACUCUAUUAUCGAAUGAUAUACUCCACAAAGGCAGCGUGCCCAGCUUAUGGCAAAAAGCACCUGUUGCCAAUAAACGUUGGGAGUGACGGUGA